rnacentral:tRNA from 1 species
GAUGUAGCUCAGUGGUAGAGUGCUUGCCUUGUAUUCUUGAAGUCCUGGGUUCAAUCCCUAACAUC